AUGGACUUCGUGACUGGUUUUCCCAAGUCCAAGCGUGGAAAUGAUGCUAUCUUCAUUGUCAUUGACAAGCUUACUAAAGUGGCUCAUUUUCUUCCUAUCAAAGAAUCUAUCACAGCAGCUCAGCUGGCAGAGCUUUACACCUCCAGAAUUGUCUCCUUGCACGACAUUCUUCAAUUGAUCUCUUCAGAUCGUGGAAGCAUCUUCACUUCUAAGUUCUGGAACUCCUUUCAGAAGGCCAUGGGCACCAACAUUCGUUUCAGCACAACUUUCCAUCCUCAAACAAGUGGCCAAGUCGAGCGAGUCAAUCAAAUCCUUGAAGAUAUGCUCAGGGCUUGUGUUAUCUCUUUCGGUAUGAAGUGGGAAGAUUGUCUUCCAUAUGCCGAGUUCUCCUACAACAACAGCUUCCAAGCGAGUUCGGGCAAGGCCCCAUUCGAAAUUCUCUAUGGCAGAAAGUGCCGUACUCCUCUCAAUUGGUCCAAGACAGGUGAACGCCAACUUCUUGGCAACGACUUGAUCACAGAAGCCGAAGAAAUGUGCAAAGUCAUUCGUGAGAAUCUCAAGGCCGCACAAUCGCGCCAGAAGAGUUACUAUGAUAUCAAGCACCGUGAUUUGGCUUUUGAAAUCGGAGACAAUGUCUACCUCCGCGUCUCCCCAAUGAAAGGCACUCGUCGCUUCGGUAUCAAAGGGAAGCUUGCCCCUAGAUACGUGGGUUCUUUCAAGAUCAUUGGCAAAAGAGGCGAUCUCGCCUAUCAACUCGAGCUUCCAUCCAACUUUGCAAACGUGCACGAUGUGUUUCACGUGUCACAACUUCGCAAGUGCUUCAAGACUCCUGAGCGCACUAUCAACUUCGAAGAGAUUGACCUCCAAGAAGAUCUGUCCUAUCAUCAGCACCCCGUUGCUAUUCUUGAAGAAACCGAGCGCAAGACUCGCAAUAAGUCAAUUAAAUUCCUGAAAGUGAAGUGGUCACACUGUAACGCCCGAAUACUUAAGCUACAGUAA
rnacentral:rRNA from 1 species